GGUCUGGUGGUGUAGUGGUAACACAUCCUCUUCAUUUGAUAUCAUUGGACCUUUGUAAGAGGAAAUACCCUGUUCGAAUCAGUGUCAGAUCA